rnacentral:rRNA from 1 species
GUGAAAAGCACCCCGGAAGGGGAGUGAAAUAGAACCUGAAACCGUGUGCUUACAAGUAGUCAGAGCCCGUUAAUGGGUGAUGGCGUGCCUUUUGUAGAAUGAACCGGCGAGUUACGAUUUGAUGCAAGGUUAAGCAGUAAAUGUGGAGCCGUAGCGAAAGCGAGUCUGAAUAGGGCGUUUAGUAUUUGGUCGUAGACCCGAAACCAGGUGAUCUACCCUUGGUCAGGUUGAAGUUCAGGUAACACUGAAUGGAGGACCGAACCGACUUACGUUGAAAAGUGAGCGGAUGAACUGAGGGUAGCGGAGAAAUUCCAAUCGAACCUGGAGAUAGCUGGUUCUCUCCGAAAUAGCUUUAGGGCUAGCCUCAAGUGAUGAUUAUUGGAGGUAGAGCACUGUUUGGACGAGGGGCCCCUCUCGGGUUACCGAAUUCAGACAAACUCCGAAUGCCAAUUAAUUUAACUUGGGAGUCAGAACAUGGGUGAUAAGGUCCGUGUUCGAAAGGGAAACAGCCCAGACCACCAGCUAAGGUCCCAAAAUAUAUGUUAAGUGGAAAAGGAUGUGGCGUUGCCCAGACAACUAGGAUGUUGGCUUAGAAGCAGCCAUCAUUUAAAGAGUGCGUAAUAGCUCACUAGUCGAGUGACACUGCGCCGAAAAUGUACCGGGGCUAAACAUAUUACCGAAGCUGUGGAUUGUCCUUUGGACAAUGGUAGGAGAGCGUUCUAAGGGCGUUGAAGCAUGAUCGUAAGGACAUGUGGAGCGCUUAGAAGUGAGAAUGCCGGUGUGAGUAGCGAAAGACGGGUGAGAAUCCCGUCCACCGAUUGACUAAGGUUUCCAGAGGAAGGCUCGUCCGCUCUGGGUUAGUCGGGUCCUAAGCUGAGGCCGACAGGCGUAGGCGAUGGAUAACAGGUUGAUAUUCCUGUACCACCUAUAAUCGUUUUAAUCGAUGGGGGGACGCAGUAGGAUAGGCGAAGCGUGCGAUUGGAUUGCACGUCUAAGCAGUAAGGCUGAGUAUUAGGCAAAUCCGGUACUCGUUAAGGCUGAGCUGUGAUGGGGAGAAGACAUUGUGUCUUCGAGUCGUUGAUUUCACACUGCCGAGAAAAGCCUCUAGAUAGAAAAUAGGUGCCCGUACCGCAAACCGACACAGGUAGUCAAGAUGAGAAUUCUAAGGUGAGCGAGCGAACUCUCGUUAAGGAACUCGGCAAAAUGACCCCGUAACUUCGGGAGAAGGGGUGCUCUUUAGGGUUAACGCCCAGAAGAGCCGCAGUGAAUAGGCCCAAGCGACUGUUUAUCAAAAACACAGGUCUCUGCUAAACCGUAAGGUGAUGUAUAGGGGCUGACGCCUGCCCGGUGCUGGAAGGUUAAGAGGAGUGGUUAGCUUCUGCGAAGCUACGAAUCGAAGCCCCAGUAAACGGCGGCCGUAACUAUAACGGUCCUAAGGUAGCGAAAUUCCUUGUCGGGUAAGUUCCGACCCGCACGAAAGGCGUAACGAUUUGGGCACUGUCUCAACGAGAGACUCGGUGAAAUCAUAGUACCUGUGAAGAUGCAGGUUACCCGCGACAGGACGGAAAGACCCCGUGGAGCUUUACUGUAGCCUGAUAUUGAAAUUCGGCACAGCUUGUACAGGAUAGGUAGGAGCCUUUGAAACGUGAGCGCUAGCUUACGUGGAGGCGCUGGUGGGAUACUACCCUAGCUGUGUUGGCUUUCUAACCCGCACCACUUAUCGUGGUGGGAGACAGUGUCAGGCGGGCAGUUUGACUGGGGCGGUCGCCUCCUAAAAGGUAACGGAGGCGCUCAAAGGUUCCCUCAGAAUGGUUGGAAAUCAUUCAUAGAGUGUAAAGGCAUAAGGGAGCUUGACUGCGAGACCUACAAGUCGAGCAGGGUCGAAAGACGGACUUAGUGAUCCGGUGGUUCCGCAUGGAAGGGCCAUCGCUCAACGGAUAAAAGCUACCCCGGGGAUAACAGGCUUAUCUCCCCCAAGAGUUCACAUCGACGGGGAGGUUUGGCACCUCGAUGUCGGCUCAUCGCAUCCUGGGGCUGUAGUCGGUCCCAAGGGUUGGGCUGUUCGCCCAUUAAAGCGGUACGCGAGCUGGGUUCAGAACGUCGUGAGACAGUUCGGUCCCUAUCCGUCGUGGGCGUAGGAAAUUUGAGAGGAGCUGUCCUUAGUACGAGAGGACCGGGAUGGACAUACCUCUGGUGUACCAGUUGUCGUGCCAACGGCAUAGCUGGGUAGCUAUGUGUGGACGGGAUAAGUGCUGAAAGCAUCUAAGCAUGAAGCCCCCCUCAAGAUGAGAUUUCCCAACUUCGGUUAUAAGAUCCCUCAAAGAUGAUGAGGUUAAUAGGUUCGAG